rnacentral:antisense_RNA from 1 species
GUACUGAUGUGAACGGGCCAGGAAACACAAGCUGGCUUACAGGUGGAACACCUGAGAGUCCCCAGAGAGGACCCAUGACAGAGAGCUGAGACAUGGAUGGACACGAGCCCCAGGGAAACUUCAGGUAAUUCUUCUCUUCAAGUAAUGCCUCCCCAACUAGUAUGUUCUAUAAGGACGAGGAUCAUAUCCCUUCAUGCUCACCACUCUAUCCCCAAAGCCCAACACUCUACUGCUUGACUGAGAGCAGGUAUUGCAGAAAGAACAAAGAGAGAGGAAGUUGGGCACUCCAUAAGUCCAUUAGCCUUCAUCAAAGGUGAACCUCCCAACUCAAUGUUUGACAUGUGAAAAAAAAAGCAGAUCUGGCUGGAGCAGAUUCAGAAAACCUCUUAUCUCACCCAGGCGGAUGAUGCGCCCACCGACCACAUCAGCCACAUAAGAUCCAGUGGGACAGUGGAGCAUGUGUGCGUAGAGGAGACAGGUACAACAACCUGGAUGUCAUGCGGGCCCACUGGGGCUCCUUGUGGCCCCGGUGCACAGAAUUCUGGUGGACCCACCAUGUGUGGGAGCUCAGUGAGACUCAAAGUAAGUGCAAGGCCCUCCUCACACAUCGUAAGCCGAAGGUGGAGCACACUGGGAAAAUGUGCAUGCAUCACGAAGAAAAAUGAAAACUGAUUUUGUGCAACAUUUCCACUGUUCUUGGAAGAAUGAAAUAAAUGCACAUGAGCUAUGAAA